rnacentral:lncRNA from 1 species
UAUUUCAGCUUCCUGGGUCACUGGGAGUCUUCUUUGGCUUACGAUCUGGCUGUCUCUUUCUGGUUCUCCAGAGAAUUCACUUGGCUCACCGUCUGUGCUCCUGAUGUCCUCAAGUUGGAGAUUUUUCUGCUCUGAUGCCCCAGGAUGGUCCUACAUCACAUUCAGCUAAGGUCUUCGCUGGCUGGCAGGUCUCACCUGCCUGUUCUCAAAUAUUCUGUUAAUGGCCACUGUUCCCAUGGAGAAGCCCACAAGAAAGGACAUGUAUUUCUGGACAGGCAUGCGUACUGACCCACUUCUCCCCUCAGACCUAAAUAUUGUGCCAUUUACUUUUCUCAAUAAGGAAAGUGAACCAUUGCUUUCUCUUGGCCUGUCUCUAAAGAGCCUCCCUCUCUGACCCUCACCACAGAGAAGCCAUCAGGACUGCUGUGGGCUUCUGGCCUCUGGCCUCAUGGAAGUGACUAUCUUUUCUGCACUGAGUCUGCGUAGAUAUCCUCGAGUCUUCAUUUUGCUGCUGACUAAAGAACACAUAGUGAUCACACCAGGGCCUGUGGGUAUGUAGUUUAUGCAGAGUCUUCUUAUUAGGAUUGAAGUGACAGCUCCUUGAAACCUUCCCUGUACCGACAACAGCUCCAUCAUGGCUGAUUUGUAGAUCUGUGGGUAAUUGUCAUCCUCCCUAGUUAACCUGCUCCCGGGUCUCUUUGACUGCUUGUAAUAAAUUUUACAGCCAUGAAAUUGUGCUUAUAGAUUUCUCUCAGAUCCUCCAGCUUCGGAGACAUUUUUCUUCUGGUUUCAAAAAUGAAAAAAAAAUCCCCCAAAAAUAGCAACAACAACCAACCUACCUGACAACAGCUAUUACCAAGUUCCUGGUUUCUCUUCCUGUGGCCUGGACUCCUCCUGAAGCUCUUUCUUGCACAGGGAAGCAGUUUCCUUUUUGUUUUUAGCUCAUAAUGUUUGAAAAAGAAGUGGUUACAGGGAAUGCUACAGCAGAAGCGCAGGCUCUUCUGGGAUAUGAUUGCUUUGGAAUCCUGAAGGCAUUGCAUGUUGGAUGGCCCAGAUAUGAUAUCAGAAUGUGUGAGUUAGCCUUCUUAUAGUUUUUCUUCUCCAUGGAGCCAAUAGUAAUUCUUCUAGGCUAACAUUUAUGUAAUGCUAUUGUGGGUCUGGGUACAUGAGGUUUUCCAUGGAGAUCUCUGGCCAGGCCUGGUGCGAGGGUUCGAGCGAAGGGAAGCGAGUGCAGGCAUGGAGACAAAGUCUCUGCCAUGCCUUCCAGGUCACUCGGUAACUCUGAGCUGCUCUGCAUUGAGUUGGGUCGGGCUGGGCUUAUGAGAAGCCAAAUAUCCAGUGAGGAGUGUGGUGGGACCUCAGGUGGCUCAUCGGGAGAGAAGAUCUCUUCCCAAGAGUUACUGCUCUUGGAACAAAAGACUCAGACAAUGAGUAGUUCUCGAACACCUUUAAUUCCCUGGAUAGGAUUUAUAAACAGUUUUGGGAGUGAUUCGGGGUUUGACAGCAGGUACCUCUUACUGCCUUGGACUGAGAGUUUGGGGGAAACCUUAUUUGCAUGUGGGAAGGCUUGGUGCUGCUCCUAUGUGACUGAUAGCCACAUACCUCUUCUUUAGGGGCUGUGGGGGCUGUGGAGGCUGUGGGGGCUGUGGGGGCCUUGGGGGCAGUAACUUCAACAGGAGCCAGGGGUCCAGGAGACAUGAUGGAACCCCUUCCAUCUCAUGUAGGUGGAAAUUUCCACCCAUUCGGUCCCCAGGGUUCUAGACCUAUGCUCAACGGGAGACCAGGCUAUCUGUGAGCAGCCCACUGCCCCAUAUGCUAUUCUAUUGUUUCUUACCCUUCAGUUAACACUUUGGGAAAGUUGAUUUCCUGAGAACUCUGUUUUAGCCCUCUCCAUAGCUACCUUGUUUAAUGAGUUGACCAUUCUUCUUUGACCUGUGAGUGAUGAGGGACUGGAUGAUGAAGGGGUUAAAUCUGAGCUGAGGGACCCACAUUCAGCCACCUACUCUCAUCAUUGUAUCCACACAGGUACUUCUGGUGGUCAUCUUUUCCGUUUCCAGGUUCCCAUUGCUUUUAUCAGAUCUUCUAACUGGUGUAGAUGUGGCUUGUUUUUUAAAAUCCUGCCCUAGGCAUUAAUUGUUUCUUCAGCAAUAGUAAUAAACAGGCCUUUUCUGUAUUGUGUGGACACCAGGGCUUCAGGAAACUAUGACAGAUGUCCUACUUAUUACCAUAAUUAUUUAAUCAGAAUAUAAUUAUUUAAUGUAGAGAAGAAACACUGAGACAUCAGGGAUGAAAUGCUAUGAAAAUUGACUAUAGUAAUUGACUCUUUUUUAUUUGAGGUGUUCCCGUUUUGUGGCUAGAAAUCUAAGCCUCCAGAGUUUGCAACUGCACUCAACAACUAUUUAUUAAUGCUGAAACAUUUUAUUACAGACCGAUUACCCUGGAGUUGAUUUAAAAUACACAGGAUAAGUACAUAAGUGAUAUGGAAAUAGUGUACCACUUUAUUUGAGGGGUGUGGAGCUCCCGCAGGUUCUAAUCUUCAGGGAGUCCUAGAACCCAGGCCCCACAAUGCUAAGGACUGAUGGCAUAACUGAACACACUGGGGUCACAUCCUGGUGAGCCCACAACCCAAGUAACCACAUCUAAGGCCUGAAAGAGGAGAGACACUGGUUUUGGGGGAUAUGGGAGUGAGCACAGAAGUUAUGUGCAAGUCAGGUCCCUCCUCCAACUAAGCGUGCACUCAGGGGGACUUUAUUCCAGUAGGCUAUGCAUAUGCAUUUAGGAAAGCACUUUAAAGGUGGGCAUAUUCCUGAGCAUGCUCAGUUUGAAUUCAUACUUUAUUGAAGAAAGACAAUUUGUGUAUGCUCAGCUGAAAGCCAAGCGUAUGUUCAAAAGGCUAAAAUGGUGAACAAGAAUGCACCUGAGCGUACUCACUGUGUCACCAAAUGAAAAUGAAAAGACACUAGAUGUGCACUAAAAUGUUAAAAUAUGCUUCUGUCCCUAAAGGUGCCUGUCUUGCCUAGUGACUGAUACUUAUUCUUAUCUCAUGAGAUUAGAAAACAAACCUUAUUUAUUCUGUACAGCUUUGGGGCCUUGUGAAUAGCAUGUACAUUUGGCAGAUUUUACCUCCAUGUGAAAUGAAACUCCUGACAAUGAAUAGAAUGGACACUGGGAAUUAGGUAAUCUUCAGCUCUCAGAGGGGGGAGGGCAAAGGUUCACUGACUUCACUUCAGCUAAAGUAAGAAGACAUCUCAAAUUUGGCAAUGAAAUUAAAAGCUCAUUAAGAUGAUACCUGGGAAGGAGAGAUUGUUCAGUUGGUAAGGAGCACUGACCAUUCUUCCAGAAGUUGUGGGAAGUGGCUAUGGCUUUCAUGGGAAUGUGGUGUUGCUAUAGGAGAAAUGGCUUGAUACAGUCCAGGAAGGAGGCCAUUGCGUCUGAGGGAGCAUUGUGUCCUUAACAAAAGAGCUAAAAUCCAGGAAUUAGAGAAAGAGGUAGGUAAGGAUAGGAGGAACUGGGCAUGAGGAUCAGGAUAGCAGUGCUGCCUCACUGGUUAAAUCAGGGAUGUGUUACCUGAGACCAUCUGUCCUCAAGUGGAUGAAAGCUCAGGAGUGCAGAGAAAGGUGGAUCAGUGGAGAAAAGGAAGCUUGUGUAAUCAUUCAUUAGAAACACAAGAACAUCAUAUAUAGGUCUGUCUCUAGCCUUAUCUUUGGUAAACAAGGAGAUUAUGAGUCUUAUCCAACCCAUAGGAGGAGGAAUGGCCCUUUACAUAAACUUGCUUUCAGGUGCACAAAAUGCUGUGAGGAUAACACAUUAUUGAGUUAUCUGGUAUUCAUGAUUCUAGAAUAGACAUAAUCUUUUCAUGCAUGAACAGAGAGGUUUAGUGUACAGAAUCCAACAUGGCAAAGAAAGCAGAAACAGUAUGAGCAGUUGAAGGUUUCAAAAUCGCUUUGCUUUUAUAGUUAAAACACAGUGGACUUCGUGAAGUUUGAAGUAUACCGAUUUUUUUGAAAACUGACUUACUCUAAGGUUCAGUUUGAUGAACUGAUAUUUGGAUUGUGAACUCCAUUCCAGUUUGAUCUGGUUUUCUGGGGCCCAAUGAAGGACCUUGGUCCAGAAGAGUCGCACCACUUGGUAUUUUAAGUAACUCUCAUAUAACUCAGGCUGGCCUUAAACUUGAGGCUCUCCUACCUUUGCCUCUCUAGGGGUUGGAUUACUAUCACACCUGCUCAAUACUUUCUCAGUCUUUUUUGGGGUUCUUGACCAUGAGUUGUAUUCAGGUGUUAUUGAGUGUUCCUUAGCCAUGUGUCAAGGAUAUCUAGGUACUCCACUAAGCAUUGGGCUGCUGAAUCUUAACCCUGCUCUAAAAGGACUACAGCUGAAGGUGGUGAGUGUCUUGGUUUGUCAGUGUGGAGUAGUCAAGAUGAGGGGAGUAAAGGCAGGAUUUCAAAGGCUAUGACAACAAGCACCAUACUUAACAUGAUUUACAUCCAUGCAUGAAAGAGAAGAAUCAAACUUAACUGUAGAGAAUUUAAUCAGAGCAAAUAGAUGAAUGAAGUGAUGUUGUCUGAUGUCAAGAACAAAAUGUGUACAUAACAAGAUGGAAUAGAAAGAGAACUGGAAUUCAGUUGUAUGCAUGAAGCUUGAUAAACCUUGUUCAGAUCCAAGUCACUUUUUCAAUGGUAAAGUCUGGAAUUCAAAGGUGUGAUCUGGCAAUCUGGGGGUGCCUUUUAGAACAUGAUAGCUGUAGAGUUGACCUUGUACUAUGAGGACAGUAUUGUUUGAACCUAAUGAACAUUCUAAUAGAUUCUAGGCUAAUAGGAUUCAGUAAUGAGGGAAGCCUACAAUUUUCCAAAAUAGCCUAAUUUUCAAAACAGUACUCUUUGACCUGUGAGCAUGGGUGCUCUGAUUAGCUGCACAACAUUGUGUAGGUUAUGUGAGCCUUGGGGCAAACUUCAAGGUUGACUUGAUGCAAUUCAUUGGUGUGUUUCUUUGUCCUCUAUUCAUUAUUCCCUGUGGCUAAUUCAUUCCCGGGAGACUCUGUGGUAAUCAAAUGGUAUAUGGAGAAUGAAUCUGGGUGGAGAGGUUUCAUAAUUAAUUUUGAAGAACCACAUGAUAAAUGGAAUACAGAGCUAUAAGAAUAGGAUUAAUAGUGUAUACUCAGGUGACACGUUAAAUGAGUAAGUCAAGUACUAGAUAAAUUUGUUAUAUCUAGAAAGGGUCAGUGUCUGUAUUAUAUAUUAAAGUAGUCACAGGAAGUAUGUUACAAACCACAUUGCUGACAGGGCUAAAAUUCAUGACACCCUCUCACCGUAAAUAAAUAAUUUCAAGUAAAUUUAUUUUGAAAUUUCUUGACAGCUAUAGCUUAUUUUGAAAAAUAUAUAUAAGCAAAAUUCCAUCAGCUGCUAGAAACAAAGAGAAAAGUGUGUUUUAGUCAUAACUGGUAGUCAAUACCACAGAGAUCUUAGACGUUUAGGGUGGACAGAGGCAUAAAGGAUGAGAGCUGUGAUCUUGUUACCAGAGCCCCUCUUAUAAGGCCGGGCUCUUGGGGUCCAAAUAUCUUGUCUGUGUUACGAGAAAAUAAUAUUGAAUGUAGAGAAAUGAAACAAAGAAUUUAGUUAUAACUUUGGCUUUAGAAGAAAAUUCAGCUCUGUGCUUCCUCACCAAGUGUUGAACCACACUUCAGGGAAGUGGAUAAUAAACAGAAGGUAGGGGGCAUAGCAGGGAAGUGGAUAAUAAACAGAAGGUGGGGGCAUAGCAGGGAAACACUUUCCAUGCUGUGUUUUAACAGUUGCCCGAGCUGUUCACUAUUAUUUUUACUUUGAUAGGUUACCAAGCCAUCAGGUUUAAUUUAGGAAGAAUAUUGUAGGCAAAUAAUUAUGUUUCUAAACCCAAGAUGAUCAUUUUAUAUUAAAAUGAGGAUGAAAUGUAUAGGUUGAUAUAUCUCAUCAAUAAUCCUCAUAGAUUUUAUCUAUGCCCUUACUCAAACUACAUCUAUUGAUAGGUCCAGAAUUUAUAAAACAAAAACCAAAUAAAUCUUCACUGAGAACUGGCAAAAACUUUAAAAAUAUUUUAUACACAGAAGUGUUAAAACAGAGUUAAAAAAACAAGCUGUUGUUCCAUCAUAGACACACCUGAAUGCACAUGUUCUCAGAGGGGCUUUUCUCAGUGAGUCUGUGAGAUGAGAUUCCCACCAUCUUUGUCCUGAGCUUGUAGUAGACAUCAACAAUGAUGAAAAUAUGUGUACCACCAACUUCUAAAGUCCACAGUUGCCACAUUCUUAUAUUUUUAGCCUUUGAAGUCUAUGUUAUUUAAUUUGCAUGAUAUUACAAAUUGGCCUCAUGGAAAAUAAUACAUGACAACUAUUAAAGUGAAUUGAGAUCCUUAUCAAAUAUAAGCCAGCUACUCUCAAGUAUUUUAUUAAGCAUAUUCCAUAGAGAUAUAGACAAUUUAAAUUAAGAAUUGUGACUGUGAUAACCAAUAACUAUGAUAACCAAUAACUAAUCUGCACUCUUUGGGAUCCAAUGAACCAUGCAAAUAUUUUGCAUGCUGGCCUGAGUGAUGAAACUUAAUUAAAUUUAGACAUGCUUAGAGUAAUAGCUGAGAAUUGUGUUAUUGUUUGUAACAUGAAUAUAUAAAUAAGUAUUGCUAACCUCAACAAAACCAAAGCAAAUAGUUCCUGAUUUAUGUGAUCAAUGUUUAAGGCAAGAGGGUGGAUGUCAGAAGUCAUGUGAAGGACUUUGGGUCAGUUUUAAUUAGCAAAUCGGAAGCUUCAGGUUUCACACUGGGUCUCUGAUGCACAGGUGAGAUAGCAGAAAGCCUUUGCCCAGGCCUCGGAGCCCCCUAGUCAGCUUUGGGGUUUAGUCAGUGUCCAAUGGCACAGAAAUCAUUUGCACUGACAUGAUAGUUUAGAGAUCAAAACUGGGAGUUACAUGGGGAAAGCAGCUUUAUCCAUCGAAGCCCUCUUUGUCUCAGGAGACACUUGGCAGCUUGAC